GACGAACGCUGGCGGCGUGCUUAACACAUGCAAGUCGAACGGUGAUGCUCCAGCUUGCUGGAGUGGAUCAGUGGCGAACGGGUGAGUAACACGUGAGCAACCUGCCCCAGACUCUGGAAUAAGCGCUGGAAACGGCGUCUAAUACUGGAUACGAAACUGGCCCGCAUGGGCAUGGUUUGGAAAGUUUUUCGGUUUGGGAUGGGCUCGCGGCCUAUCAGUUUGUUGGUGAGGUAAUGGCUCACCAAGGCGACGACGGGUAGCCGGCCUGAGAGGGCGACCGGCCACACUGGGACUGAGACACGGCCCAGACUCCUACGGGAGGCAGCAGUGGGGAAUAUUGCACAAUGGGCGAAAGCCUGAUGCAGCGACGCCGCGUGAGGGAUGACGGCCUUCGGGUUGUAAACCUCUUUCAGCAGGGAAGAAGCGAAAGUGACGGUACCUGCAGAAGAAGCACCGGCUAACUACGUG
rnacentral:rRNA from 1 species